GACAUUAGAAUGUAAACACAAUGAAAUAGAAACUAGUGUAAAGUGUGAAUUGAAAAUUUUAUGUCCCACAUUGGAUAGAUCACACACUCUAGUAGUGUUUAUAUAUGUGGGAUAUCACUUCCAAGGGUGUGCCCUUGGGUACCCACUUUUGUGAACGGAGUGAGCGCUAGCCAAAAAUUAUAUAAGCCACACGCGCGCCG
rnacentral:lncRNA from 1 species